UGCAUCUGAAGCCUGACGAGGAUGAGAACCUCCGGGGGCAAGAGGUUCGACUCGAGCGCAGCGAGAGAACGUUGCGUCAGCAACGGCCCGCAGGGCG
rnacentral:sRNA from 2 species